UGCCAUUAAAAGAUACUACAGAUCUGAAAAGUAGGAGGAUGUUCUAAAACAAGCAAAAGGACUGGAUGAGCUUAAACAAAAAAUAUGGAAAAAAAGGAAGAGGAGGCAAAAGGGAAAGAUUUGGGCAGGCAAAGUGUUCACUUGACAGACGCUUCCGGAAAAACUACUCCCACGAGAACGAGAAGUUACGCAUAUAUAGUAGGACUAGUGGAUCUGGCUGAAAGUACAUUUAGAGAACAUUUCCUGGGCCUUUCUUGGAUUAUCAAAA